AUCUAUGGAUUCAGUUCUUCU
rnacentral:miRNA from 1 species